rnacentral:lncRNA from 1 species
GUCUUGGAGGCCAAGCAAUUGAAUUUCGUGUUUUGGUCCCUGCAAAGCUUAAAUCCCCCUCUGUUUUUCUCAUUUUCUUUAUUACUACUACUGCUGCUGCUACUACUACUACUCUGUUUUCAGAAUUUCCAAUUGAAGUUUAAGCUAUGGAUUUCUUCCCCUCAAAAUCUAAACAAAAUCAAAGGCUGCCUCCCAAAAGAGGACAGAUCAAGAUGAAGAUACUGAAAUUUCUUGUAAAAUCAGAGGUUAGAUUUGUAUUGGUAGGGAUUGAGUCAGGAAGAUCAAAUCAAAGGCUACCUCCUAAAAGAGGACAGAUCAAGAUGAAGAUACUGAAAUCUCUUGUAAAAUGGCCGUUGGAUUUGUAUCAGUAGCCAGGUGAGUCUGGAAGCUCAAAUUCCACAACCCAGCAUCAAGCUCAAAGCUACUACAGCUCAGGGAAUGAUUCUGAUUGAUGAAAUUCUUCGAGCUUUACUCAGUUUUCUUUAUUUGUACAGUAGAGUAUUGUAUAUUGGUGAAUUCUGUUCAGGAGCAUCUUUCAAUUGAUCUUUCGCUUAGACAAUCCCAACCCAAAUUCCAAUAGUAA